CCAUAGCUCAGUGGUAGAGCAUUGACUUUGUAUGCAGGAGGUCCCGGGUUCAAUUCUUGGCAUCUUAAGGU